AUUGAACGCUGGCGGCAGGCCUAACACAUGCAAGUCGAGCGGAUGAAGGGAGCUUGCUCCUGGAUUCAGCGGCGGACGGGUGAGUAAUGCCUAGGAAUCUGCCUGGUAGUGGGGGAUAACGUCCGGAAACGGGCGCUAAUACCGCAUACGUCCUGAGGGAGAAAGUGGGGGAUCUUCGGACCUCACGCUAUCAGAUGAGCCUAGGUCGGAUUAGCUAGUUGGUGGGGUAAAGGCCUACCAAGGCGACGAUCCGUAACUGGUCUGAGAGGAUGAUCAGUCACACGGGAACGGAAACACGGACCAGACUCCUAGGGGAGCCAGCAGGGGGAAAUAUUGAAAAUGGGGCAAAACCCUGACCCAGCCAUGCCGGGUGUGUAAAGAAGGUUUUGGAAUGUAAAACCAUUUUAAGUUGGGAGAAAGGGAAGUAAUUAAAUACCUUGCUGUUUGGACUUUCCAAACAAAAAAGGCCCCGCCUAACUUCGCC
rnacentral:rRNA from 1 species